CGGGGUGAAUGGCCCCACUUAGCGGGGUAAAUAGGCCGUUUGGCUCUGAACCAAAAAAUUGGGGUUCGAAUCCCUGUCCCCCAG
rnacentral:tRNA from 1 species